ensembl:lncRNA
AGCUGGAACCUGCUGCAAGCGUUUGACGGUACCAAAUUACAUAUAUAUAUAUAUAUAUGCAUGUAUCUGUCAAAAUGAUGUAAGACCUGAAAUCUCUCUGUAAGUUGAUCCUCUUGACCCCAUGAUUAGGAGCUUCACAAUGUGGUACCACACCUGGAAAUCUCCAGAACAAGAUCUCAAGGAAACACAGGAAAUUCCUGGAGUGGCAAAACAUCCUAUUUGAAGAUAUUCAAUUAUUCCUCUGUGCAUCAGGAGCAUCGCCAUGACUUAACUAUUCAUAUGCUUGAAAGAGUUUGUUUAGCAAGAGCCUUUGCAGGAAAAUAAAAAGAGCCAGCUAUAUUAUUGAUGAUGGACUAGACAAUGCCGUCAUGCUUGUAGGCCAGAACAAAGCCUAACAGACCUGCAAGGGGCCUGGAAAAAAUUCUGGAGCACAUGGUGGACCGGUGAACAAAGUGCAUAUCUAACCUUCGUGGGAAUUAGAACAAGAGUUGUGUCCACACACAACGAGAGAGUGGUUCAAAUUCUUGGCAGAAUUUGUCUUCAAGUGUCUGCACUUGCGCUGGGACACCCAUCUCUACAUGUUGAAUUAGAGUCAUUCCCUGUCAGAUACUAUGUUUUAUUUUCAAUCAGUACUGUCCAUUCUGUAAUGGUUCAUUGCAUAGACUUGAAGAUGACAUUUUGGGCUGUGUCUUGUAUUUGUCACUUACUCGCACUUUGACUGUGGUCAGGUUAAUUAACUUCUUGUGUCUAGGUUUUCUCAUUUUUAAAGAAAGAUGUUUAUUUCUAUAGUUUCAUGUUGGC